ensembl:lncRNA
GGAAUGUGUUGGUGGAUGUGAUGGGAGCUGAGGACUCUUAGCUGAGUUAACAAGAAUGUAAAGCCAGCCACCAAACGUCCCUGGAGAACAGGAGGUGAAAGCCCAGUGAACCACACAAGGCGAACCCAGCCAGACCCAGCCAGACCAAGCCAGACCCAGCCAGACCAAGCCAGACCCAGCCAAACAGAGCCAGACCAAGCCAGACCAAGCCAAGCCAGACCAAACCAAGCCAGACCCAACCAGACCAAGCAAUGGAAAAAAAUUAAGAGGUCAUACAGUAACUGUUACAGAGGAACACCAACACAGACAUCAGGCAGCUACAGGGGCAGGUAGAGACUAGCCAUCACAUGGCUACAGGGGCAGGUAGAGACUAGCCAUCACAUGGCUACAGGGGCAGGUAGAGACUAGCCAUCACAUGGCUACAGGGGCAGGUAGAGACCAGCCAUGACAUGGCUACAGGGGCAGGUAGAGACUAGCCAUCACAUGGCUACAGGGGCAGGUAGAGACUAGCCAUCACAUGGCUACAGGGGCAGGUAUAGACUAGCCAUGACAUGGCUACAGGGGCAGGUAGAGACUAGCCAUCACAUGGCUACAGGGGCAGGUAGAGACUAGCCAUCACAUGGCUACAGGGGCAGGUAGAGACAAGCCAUCACAUGGCUACAGGGGCAGGUAGAGACUAGCCAUCACAUGGCUACAGGGGCAGGUAGAGACUAGCCAUCACAUGGCUACAGGGGCAGGUAGAGACUAGCCAUCAGACAGCUACAGGGACAGGUAGAGACUAGACA